rnacentral:lncRNA from 1 species
GUGUGGGGUUAAGAGCUGAAGGACAGGAUGCCCCCUUCCCCAGGAGCUGCUGGGGCUUUCGCUGGGCGUGUGCCUACCCACCCACCCACUGUGAGCUGUUGACUUGGUGAUGUGCAUUCCCUGGGAGAGGCCGUCUCACUUGUUUCCUCUCUGGGAUUCCUCCUUGGAGUGCUGGAAGUUUCCUGGUGAAUCCUACCAGAGUGCCCUGAGCCAUCUGUCUUGGAAGGACACAACAUGCCUGCCUCCUGCAGGCACCAGAGGCAAGAACCACAGUUGUCUGCAGAGAUUACUCUGUGAGCCCCGGGCUUCACCAGGAAAACUCGUCAGCAUAGCCAGAAGGACACAAAAGCUCUACACAUCCCCAGUGAAAUGAGGAAGCCCACUUCAGCUGCUGCCGUCCCCGCUGGCAGCUCUCACCAGGGACUGUUCAGAGGCACCGGUAUUUCCCUUCCCAGUGAAUUUCUCAAAGUCUUGGUUUUCUGGGGGAUCAACUUAUGAGCAACCAAAAAAAAUACAAUGUUUACUACAAACUCUGUUAAGGGGUUAUUUAUUUUGAAAGCAACUGGGAGCCACUAA